rnacentral:lncRNA from 1 species
CACUCCCCGCCUCCUUCGUCAGAGGAAGCCACUCAUGCAUGACUCCUUCCAAGUCCUUUUUUUUAAUGCCUUUCAGAUGUAUAUUGUUGGUAGUGUAAUUUGCUUUAUGGAUUGUUGGGAUGUAAAUGGAAAAGCACUGUGACACAUUUAGGUUGCCUCUAGACUUACUCUGACCACAGUGUGUCUUGGAUGUCUUUUCAUGCCACAUGUAACUCUACCUCAUCCUUGUUAACAAGAGCAUUAAAAGAAGUCACUCUGAAAAAAGAGACAGAAAAGAAAAAAAAGCAAACAAUGUGUAUAACAUGCUCAAAUUUAUG